rnacentral:tmRNA from 1 species
AAUCAAAUUACGGACUACGCAUGUAGAAGCUUAUCGUGAAAGAUUUUCGGACGCGGGUUCGAUUCCCGCCACCUCCACCA